rnacentral:rRNA from 1 species
AAAUUGAAGAGUUUGAUCAUGGCUCAGAUUGAACGCUGGCGGCAGGCCUAACACAUGCAAGUCGAACGGUAACAGGAAGAAGCUUGCUUCUUUGCUGACGAGUGGCGGACGGGUGAGUAAUGUCUGGGAAACUGCCUGAUGGAGGGGGAUAACUACUGGAAACGGUAGCUAAUACCGCAUAACGUCGCAAGACCAAAGAGGGGGACCUUCGGGCCUCUUGCCAUCGGAUGUGCCCAGAUGGGAUUAGCUUGUUGGUGGGGUAACGGCUCACCAAGGCGACGAU